UCAGUAUAUAUUUUAAAUUAAAAUAUUAAUUUUGGAGAUUAAUGAUAUUAUGUAUAUAUAUUUAUACUGAU
rnacentral:tRNA from 1 species